UCGGAGUGCGGAAGAUUUAUAACUCAAUUUACAACAUAUGAUGGAAUAUAAACAACUAAAUUUCCAAAAGGUGUGUAGAGUAGCGGAAGCAUCUUAGGUGAAGCUUCUAAGGUAGAAGAGGUGGAUAAAUCAUGUCGCGCCCACCGACAUGACCUCCAUUAGCAGCAUAAGUCAGCACCUGCAACAGGGGUUAUAAAACCC
rnacentral:lncRNA from 1 species